rnacentral:misc_RNA from 1 species
AUCUUUCUUAGGUGAACAGAAAUGGUCACGAACUCCCCAUAGUCCAGAUGCCCAUCCCGGUCUAAGUCACCAGCUUCCAUUAGCAUUUGAAGAUCAGUAUCGGUGAUCUGAUGACCUAGUUUCUGCAACCCAAUUCUUAGCUCAUCAAUAUUAAUUUUUCCCUUAUUGCUAGUAUCCAUCAGUUGGAAGCCCUCCUUUAUGCCAGCAACUUCCUCGACUGACAAAUGCUCAGCUACUACCCUAAGUGCUCUUUUCUUGAGUUUGUUCAUUGCAGAGAAUUGCUUAAGCCUUGCUUUCACCGUUUCACCUAAGGAAACAUUAGGCGCCUUCUUUGCAUUCUGCAACCAAGAAUGAUCUAGCACUUGUUGUGCUGUAAGCC